rnacentral:rRNA from 1 species
AUGGCGGAGGAGAAGGGGACGCUGCAGGUGAUGAGGGGAUGGGUCGUGGACCACAAGCUGCGGGCCGUAGGUGCACCGCGGGGAGUUCCCCUUCCGCUGCCAGAGCUUCUCGUCUCUUUUUUCACAUCGGACGCUCUCACUCACGGGAUCGCGGGAUCCAUCGCCUACAACUGGUCCAGGCCCGACAUGAAGACCAGCGUCAAGCUCAUCCACGCUAGGUACUCAUGGAUGCGGGUAGCAGCACUAAUAUCCUUUACUAUGAUAAUUUUUGUCGCAUGGGGUUGA